AAGUCGUAACAAGGUUUCCGUAGGUGAACCUGCGGAAGGAUCAUUACCGAGUUAGGGUCCUCCGGGGCCCGAACCUCCCACCCCCUGUUGUCGAACAAAUUAUCGUUGCUUUGGCGGGACCGUCCCCCGGUCUCACGACCCGGGGCUGCCGGGUCCCGGACCGGGUAAGCGCCCGCCAGAGACCAACUAAACUCUUCGUUAAACAUUCGUCCGAGUAAAAUGAUUAAACCAAUCAAAA
rnacentral:misc_RNA from 1 species